UACCAGCUCCCUGAGUGGUAAGGACGAUUAUUUGGCCUAAAGCGUCCGUAGCCGGCUUAUCAAGUCUCUUGUUAAACCCAAUGAUUCAAUCAUUGACCCGCAAGAGAUACUGUUAUGCUAGAGGACGGGAGAGGUCGACGGUAGUCCAGGGGUAGGGGUGAAAUCCUAUAAUCCUCGGAGGACCACCAGUGGCGAAGGCGGUCGACUAGGACGUGCCUGACGGUGAGGGACGAAAGCUGGGGGAGCGAACCGGAUUAGAUACCCGGGUAGUCCCAGCUGUAAACGAUGCGGGCUAGGUGUUGGGGUAGCUACGAGCUACUCCAGUGCCGCAGAGAAGUUGUUAAGCCCGCCGCCUGGGGAGUACGGCCGCAAGGCUGAAACUUAAAGGAAUUGGCGGGGGAGCACCACAAGGGGUGAAGGCUGCGGUUU
rnacentral:rRNA from 1 species